rnacentral:rRNA from 1 species
GAUAAGGUUAAGUGAAUAAGGGCGCACGGUGGAUGCCUUGGCACUAGGAGCCGAUGAAGGACGGGACUAACACCGAUAUGCUUUGGGGAGCUGUACGUAAGCUAUGAUCCAGAGAUUUCCGAAUGGGGGAACCCAGCAUCUUUAAUAGGAUGUUA